rnacentral:rRNA from 1 species
AUUCCAUGCUAAUGUAUUGGAGGGCAAGUCUGGUGCCAGCAGCCGCGGUAAUUCCAGCUCCAAUAGCGUAUAUUAAAGUUGUUGCAGUUAAAAAGCUCGUAGUUGAAUUUUUGAUCUGGCCGAGAGUACGACCGCGAGGUCAGUAUCCUUGGCUGGAUCUUUCCUUCUGGAGAGCCAUUAUGCCAUUUAUUUGGUGUUUGGGAUGCAAGCUGGAAUU